CAACAAUAGCUCAGUGGCUUCCAAUGGAGGAGGAAGCACAUACCAGAGAGGUCCCCAAAAAAGAGACUGCACAAUCCUGAACUGGAGGAGGAAAUGUGGAAAAGAUUCAGGAUAGCCACACCCUAGACUCUCCCAGGAUAUAUUUAUUAAGUCAGUCAUUAACAGCUGUAGUCUGUCAAGAUUCUGUCUAUUAAGUGUAAGCAAACAAAAGAAGUGGACUUGAUUGGAUCUCGUUGUGUCGUCUUUGGGCUUGGGCUGGGCAUAAGCUGUGCCCAGUAAAGCCGACUUUUGCAAUUGAUGGUUUUUGUCAAUGCUAAUGGUGUUCAAACGGUGCCCUAGAUAUUUUGUGAUUGCCCUCAAGGUGCCUAUUACCAUUGCGACUGUCUUUGCUUUUAUUAUUGUUAUUAUUGUCGCUCAGAAUUCUAAUUUUUUGAAAAAUAUUUCACAACCACACAGUAUUUCACUUCCAUCCUCCUGGCUUUGUCUUAGGCCAGUGAUGGCAAACCUUUUAGAGACCGAGUGCUCAAAACUGUUUGCCCUGCCCCGCUCCAUCCCACAUCCCACCCGCCGGCAGGGCCACCCACCACCUCUAUGGCCCGCCGCAGAUCACUCAGGUGGCCCAGCCGCGCCAUGGAGGCUGUGCCCCCCCCAGCAUCAUCUACAUGCAGUGGGACGCGAGGGCGGAGUCUUGUCCCCGCUGCCCGGCUGCCAUGUCCUUGGCUGCGCUGCUCUGCGCGGGCUGCGCCCGGUGGUGACUCCUCCGGGGGGACUGUUGAUGAGGGAGCCAUGGGGGGAGACGGGGCUGGAGUGAUGGUGCGCAUGCCCACAUUGAGUGCUCUGAGUGCCGCCUCUGGCCCGCGUGCCAUAGGUUCGCCACCACUGUCUUAGGCAAACAGGUCAGGAAUGUGGAAAGGCGUGACUCCAGGGCCACGUUGGCAUGCGCCAGCCCCAUUUUGCUUGUCUCUCGUGCCCAUUUGGUUAUGAAUGACUCGUUUUUUUCUUUUUUUUUCUACAGGAAAUUUGGUGAGCGACCUCCACCGAAGCGGCUCACCAGGGAAGCGAUGAGGAACUAUUUAAAGGAGCGCGGUGAUCAAACAGUCCUAAUACUUCACGCAAAAGUGGCUCAGAAAUCCUACGGAAACGAAAAGAGAUUUUUUUGCCCUCCUCCGUGUGUCUAUCUUAUGGGUAGCGGAUGGAAGAAAAAAAAAGAACAAAUGGAACGAGACGGCUGCUCUGAGCAGGAAUCUCAGCCAUGCGCCUUUAUCGGGAUUGGAAAUAGCGACCAAGAGAUGCAGCAGUUGAACUUGGAAGGAAAGAACUAUUGCACAGCUAAAACUUUGUACAUAUCAGACUCUGACAAGCGAAAGCACUUCAUGUUAUCCGUAAAAAUGUUCUAUGGCAAUAGCGACGAUAUCGGUGUUUUCCUUAGCAAACGGAUCAAAGUCAUCUCCAAGCCUUCGAAAAAGAAACAAUCACUAAAAAACGCAGACUUAUGCAUUGCAUCAGGGACAAAAGUAGCGCUGUUUAAUAGACUUCGGUCCCAAACAGUUAGUACCAGAUACUUGCAUGUAGAAGGAGGGAACUUCCACGCCAGCUCACAACAAUGGGGAGCAUUUUACAUUCAUCUCUUGGACGAUGAUGAAUCUGAAGGAGAGGAAUUCACAGUCCGAGACGGCUAUAUCCAUUAUGGUCAGACGGUCAAACUCGUUUGUUCGGUUACCGGCAUGGCGCUCCCAAGAUUGAUAAUACGGAAAGUGGACAAACAGACCGCUUUGCUAGAUGCAGAUGAUCCAGUAUCCCAGCUCCAUAAGUGUGCGUUCUACCUUAAAGAUACCGAACGAAUGUACUUGUGCCUUUCCCAAGAGCGAAUUAUCCAAUUUCAAGCCACUCCAUGCCCCAAAGAACCAAAUAAAGAGAUGAUUAAUGAUGGAGCUUCGUGGACAAUCAUUAGCACAGAUAAAGCAGAAUAUACAUUUUAUGAGGGCAUGGGACCCGUCCACGCUCCCGUAACACCUGUGCCUGUCGUAGAAAGUCUUCAGCUCAACGGUGGCGGAGAUGUAGCGAUGCUGGAACUAACCGGGCAGAACUUCACUCCAAAUUUGCGUGUCUGGUUUGGGGAUGUGGAAGCGGAAACGAUGUACAGAUGCGCCGAGAGCAUGCUGUGCGUCGUCCCAGAUAUCUCGGCAUUCCGGGAAGGAUGGCGGUGGGUCCGCCAGCCCGUCCAGGUUCCGGUCACGUUAGUGCGCAAUGAUGGCAUCAUUUACUCCACCAGCCUUACCUUCACCUACACCCCAGAGCCCGGCCCUCGGCCGCACUGCAGCGCAGCGGGAGCCAUCCUCCGAGCCAACUCAAGCCUCCUGGCCUCCAGCGAAGCGAACACAAACAACGAGGGAAGUUACACAAACGUCAGCACGAACCCCGCCAGCGUCACGUCGUCGACAGCCACCGUGGUUUCCUAACCACUGCUCUUUGUGCGGAACUUCUUAAAAAAAAAAAAACUUUUCAAGUGCUUCAAACAAUAAAACCGAACAACUUUUUUGUGGUUUCGCGAGGGGAAAGAAAAAGAAGAAGAAAAAUCGACCCCUCCUUGCCGCCGUAUGUACUUUUUAAUCACCUACAAGUGCUGAUCUUAACUUGAAGCCACAAUAAAAAAUGAAAUGCGUUGGGGGCCAGCCCCCCUUUAUGGAAAAUCUAUUUUUAGUUUGUCUCUUUAAAAAAAAAAUGGACACGUAACAAACAAAAGUGGCUGGGAUUCAAAUGAUCUAGUAAACAUGGACAAAACAUGGUUUUUAUGGACCAAGGAACACUUUAGUAGAAAAAAAGGAGCCAGUUCCAUUUUCCUGACUGGGAACAAGCCAAUCCGGGUGCAAAAAGCAGAAGAAAGACAAAUAAAUCCAGGCCAGAAAUCAAGAACAGCCACGAAGAUCUGGACUUCGGCAAACUAGAUCCCAAAACUCUCAUCACACAUGUAAAGA